CGGGACGGGUGAGUAACGCGUGGGUAACCUGCCUCAUACAGGGGGAUAACAGUUAGAAAUGACUGCUAAUACCGCAUAAGCGCACAGAAUCGCAUGAUUCGGUGUGAAAAACUCCGGUGGUAUGAGAUGGACCCGCGUCUGAUUAGCUAGUUGGUGGGGUAAAGGCCUACCAAGGCGACGAUCAGUAGCCGACCUGAGAGGGUGAUCGGCCACAUUGGGACUAAGACACGGCCCAAACUCCUACGGGAGGCAGCAG
rnacentral:rRNA from 1 species